UACGUAGGGUGCGAGCGUUGUCCGGAAUUACUGGGCGUAAAGAGCUCGUAGGUGGUUUGUCGCGUUGUUCGUGAAAACUCACAACUCAAUUGUGGGCGUGCGGGCGAUACGGGCAGACUGGAGUACUGCAGGGGAGACUGGAAUUCCUGGUGUAGCGGUGGAAUGCGCAGAUAUCAGGAGGAACACCGGUGGCGAAGGCGGGUCUCUGGGCAGAUACCGACGCUGAGGCACGAAAGCUAGGGGAGCAAACAGG
rnacentral:rRNA from 1 species